rnacentral:rRNA from 1 species
AACGAACGCUGGCGGCAUGCCUAACACAUGCAAGUCGAACGAGACCUUCGGGUCUAGUGGCGCACGGGUGCGUAACGCGUGGGAACCUGCCCUUAGGUUCGGAAUAACUCCCCGAAAGGGGUGCUAAUACCGGAUAAUGUCUUCGGACCAAAGAUUUAUCGCCUUUGGAUGGGCCCGCGUUGGAUUAGCUAGUUGGUAGGGUAAAAGCCUACCAAGGCGACGAUCCAUAGCUGGUCUGAGAGGAUGAUCAGCCACACUGGGACUGAGACACGGCCCAGACUCCUACGGGAGGCAGCAGUGGGGAAUAUUGGUCAAUGGGCGAAAGCCUGAUCCAGCAAUGCCGCGUGAGUGAUGAAGGCCUUAGGGUUGUAAAGCUCUUUUACCCGGGAUGAUAAUGACAGUACCGGGAGAAUAAUCUCCGGCUAACUCCGUG